rnacentral:rRNA from 1 species
UACGGAGGAUGCGAGCGUUAUCCGGAUUUAUUGGGUUUAAAGGGUGCGCAGGCGGCACGGCAGGCCGGCGGUCAAAUCGCGGGGCUCAACCCCGCCCAGCCGUCGGAACUGCCGGGCUAGAGUGGGCGAGAAGUGCGCGGAAUGCGUGGUGUAGCGGUGAAAUGCAUAGAUAUCACGCAGAACUCCGAUUGCGAAGGCAGCGCACCGGCGCCCUACUGACGCUCAGGCACGAAAGCGUGGGUAUCGAACAGG